rnacentral:rRNA from 1 species
GACGAACGCUGGCGGCGUGCUUAACACAUGCAAGUCGAACGGAAAGGCCCUGCUUUUGUGGGGUGCUCGAGUGGCGAACGGGUGAGUAACACGUGAGUAACCUGCCCUUGACUUUGGGAUAACUUCAGGAAACUGGGGCUAAUACCGGAUAGGAGCUCCUGCUGCAUGGUGGGGGUUGGAAAGUUUCGGCGGUUGGGGAUGGACUCGCGGCUUAUCAGCUUGUUGGUGGGGUAGUGGCUUACCAAGGCUUUGACGGGUAGCCGGCCUGAGAGGGUGACCGGCCACAUUGGGACUGAGAUACGGCCCAGACUCCUACGGGAGGCAGCAGUGGGGAAUAUUGCACAAUGGGCGGAAGCCUGAUGCAGCAACGCCGCGUGCGGGAUGACGGCCUUCGGGUUGUAAACCGCUUUCGCCUGUGACGAAGCGUGAGUGACGGUAAUGGGUAAAGAAGCACCGGCUAACUACGUGCCAGCAGCCGCGGUGAUACGUAGGGUGCGAGCGUUGUCCGGAUUUAUUGGGCGUAAAGGGCUCGUAGGUGGUUGAUCGCGUCGGAAGUGUAAUCUUGGGGCUUAACCCUGAGCGUGCUUUCGAUACGGGUUGACUUGAGGAAGGUAGGGGAGAAUGGAAUUCCUGGUGGAGCGGUGGAAUGCGCAGAUAUCAGGAGGAACACCAGUGGCGAAGGCGGUUCUCUGGGCCUUUCCUGACGCUGAGGAGCGAAAGCGUGGGGAGCGAACAGGCUUAGAUACCCUGGUAGUCCACGCUGUAAACGGUGGGUACUAGGUGUGGGGUCCAUUCCACGGGUUCCGUGCCGUAGCUAACGCUUUAAGUACCCCGCCUGGGGAGUACGGCCGCAAGGCUAAAACUCAAAGGAAUUGACGGGGCCCCGCACAAGCGGCGGAGCAUGCGGAUUAAUUCGAUGCAACGCGUAGAACCUUACCUGGGUUUGACAUGGAUCGGGAGUGCUCAGAGAUGGGUGUGCCUCUUUUGGGGUCGGUUCACAGGUGGUGCAUGCCUGUCGUCAGCUCGUGUCGUGAGAUGUUGGGUUAAGUCCCGCAACGAGCGCAACCCUUGUUCACUGUUGCCAGCACGUUAUGGUGGGGACUCAGUGGAGACCGCCGGGGUCAACUCGGAGGAAGGUGGGGAUGACGUCAAGUCCUCAUGCCCCUUAUGUCCAGGGCUUCACGCAUGCUACAAUGGCUGGUACAGAGGGUGGCGAGCCUGUGAGGGUGAGCGAAUCUCGGAAAGCCGGUCUCAGUUCGGAUUGGGGUCUGCAACUCGACCUCAUGAAGUCGGAGUCGCUAGUAAUCGCAGAUCAGCAACGCUGCGGUGAAUACGUUCCCGGG